rnacentral:lncRNA from 1 species
CUGGGUCCAUCCUCAGCAGGUAGAGGUGAGCUAGGGUCCGGCUUGGCUGGCCUACAAUGUCAAUGGCCUCUCCUGCUUUCCCAUCUUGGAGCUUGGAGUCUCCAGUGGGUAGUGACUGGCCCCCGAAGUGAGGCUUGGGGAAUGUCUGCUCAGUGAAGUCAUACUUUAUAGGGGUGCUCACCCCCUUACUCACACGCCCUGAAUGACUUGCAGGGCCCCAGCCCCCACGCCUGUCCCAGUGGCUGCUGUGAAGAAACGCACGUCAUUGGGGGAAGUCCAGAAGAUGAUCUCCAAGCACCUCCUGCCACCCCAGCCUCCUGAAGGCCUCAGUUCCCCAUCACGGAGCUCCCUUGGGGCUUCGGGGGCAAUUUUUGGAUCUUUAGUAAAGGAAGGGCCUCUGAGGGGCUGGGUUUUCCUUGGGGCUGCCCUGGUGUCGUGGCGUUGUGGGGUGGGGAAUUUGGCAACACCACGGGCUCAGUAUGGCUGAAACUCCCCGGACGGCUUAGCUGCCUAAGGAUGAGCCUCUCUGCUGCCCCACCAGGCCUGGGCCUCUGUGAGGACAGAAAUCGGGACAUCGUCUGUGCCAUUGGGAUGAGUGGUCUGGGGUGCCAGAGCUCUGACAGCAGUGAACCCAGGGCCGGGGGCAUGAAAACCGAGGCACCAUGUUAGCACAGCAGGCACUACACUAGGCUGCUCAAAGUGAUUCUUGAAUUCUGUCUUUUUGGAAAAGUAGGUGUUAGCUGGGCAAAGAAGGAGCUGAGGGGGACUGCGUGGUCAGAGGCCCAGAGGUAGGGAGCAGAAUGACUUACUUGGGGGACGGCAAGUGUUUCCACAUGACUGCCUGGAGUGGAGUAGACGCAUAGGAACAGGAGGGCAGAGAGUGGGCAGGGAGGCUCAGAAAGGACCCUGAGGGCUUGGCCACGGAGCGGGAACUUUCCCGGAAGCCAGUAGUGGGAUGGAGAGUGGGGACCCUCCUGAGCCCCUCACAUCUGUGCAAAGAGGCCUCCUGCUCAAGGCUGGCAUGGGCAGCCCCCACCCCAUGGCAGAUGGCAGCUGACUCAGCCCUGCCUCUGUGAGGGCCUGCGAGAGGCUGCUCUCAUGAGCCAUCUGAGCCAUGGCAUGGGCUGGGCUGGCUCCUCGGGGCUGCCUCGACCCAACGUCUCAGGGUUCUGCCAUUCCCUCCUCCAGGGGUCUGGCUGACCACCAAGGCCCAGCUGGGAACCGGCCCUGCGAC